rnacentral:rRNA from 1 species
UGAACGCUGGCGGCGUGCCUAAUACAUGCAAGUCGAGCGAACGGACGAGAAGCUUGCUUCUCUGAUGUUAGCGGCGGACGGGUGAGUAACACGUGGAUAACCUACCUAUAAGACUGGGAUAACCUCGGGAAACCGUAGCUAAUACCGGAUAAUAUUUUGAACCGCAUGGUUCAAAAGUGAAAGACGGUCUUGCUGUCACUUAUAGAUGGAUCCGCGCUGCAUUAGCUAGUUGGUAAGGUAACGGCUUACCAAGGCAACGAUGCAUAGCCGACCUGAGAGGGUGAUCGGCCACACUGGAACUGAGACACGGUCCAGACUCCUACGGGAGGCAGCAGUAGGGAAUCUUCCGCAAUGGGCGAAAGCCUGACGGAGCAACGCCGCGUGAGUGAUGAAGGUCUUCGGAUCGUAAAACUCUGUUAUUAGGGAAGAACAUAUGUGUAAGUAACUGUGCACAUCUUGACGGUACCUAAUCAGAAAGCCACGGCUAACUACGUG